AGGCGCUCGCCUUGAAGACUAGUUGAAAGUUAACGUUAACUAUGUCUUAUUGUCUUGUUAUGUAACAAGCACGAGUAUUGGUGUUAUGUAAAGAAGUUAUAAUAAGAAGAAGAACCUAUGAGACUAGAGAAGAGUAGAUAAUACUCUAACCUUAAGCAAAACACAGUUAGAUCUAUGUUUUGGUGAGUAUUUUUAAUGUUUGGUUUUAACUUUUAUAAAGAGG
rnacentral:lncRNA from 1 species